rnacentral:rRNA from 1 species
AGGACGAACGCUGGCGGCGUGCUUAACACAUGCAAGUCACGGGGGCCCGUAGCAAUACGGGCAACCGGCGAACGGGUGCGUAACACGUGAGCAAUCUGCCGAUCUCUGGGGGAUAGCCAGCCUAACGGCUGGGUAAUACCGCAUACGCUCGUUGGGGGGAGUCCCCUGAUGAGGAAACCUCUGGGGGAGAUCGAGGAGCUCGCGACCUAUCAGCUAGUUGGCGGGGUAACGGCCCACCAAGGCAGCGACGGGUAGCUGGUCUGAGAGGAUGGCCAGCCACAUUGGGACUGCGACACGGCCCAGACUCCUACGGGAGGCAGCAGUGGGGAAUAUUGCGCAAUGGACGAAAGUCUGACGCAGCGACGCCGCGUGUGGGAUGAAGCCUUUCGGGGUGUAAACCACUGUUGCCCGGGACGAAACUCCUCUUUCGAGAGGAUUGACGGUACCGGGUGAGGAAGCACCGGCUAACUCUGUGCCAGCAGCCGCGGU